GGCCCGAAUUCACAAAGGUGGACUAAAGUUAUACCCGGGGUAUAAAACGCGUCAUUUGACGUCAUUUUAAUCCAUGGACUAAAGUUAGUACCUAGGUACUAACUUUUGCGAUUCACAAAGGUGGACUAAAGUUAUACCGGGGUAUAAAACGCGUCAUUUGACGUCACGAUUUAGUCAGCUCUUUGGGGUGGACUAAAUCGGUGGAUUAAAGUUAGUCCACGGUUUUAACCAAUCAGAGAGCAGCAUUGCGGUUGCAGAAAAGUUUGCUGCAAAAAAAAAGUUUUUUGGACGGAGACGAGAUUCGGUGUGAUCGGCUUAUCUAAAGCUUAAAAUUUCACGACUUCGACCGAGAUUAAACAGACCAUACUCGGCAGAUUGUGAGAUUGUGAUCAAUCAAGACGACAAACAUGGCUCACAUUUUUGAACUGCUGUGCCUUCUUGCAACAGAGUGAGAUUCAGCAACACAUAGGAAGACCACAGCAUGGAUUAAGAGACAGGAAGAAUCCAUUUGAAUGCUACAAGGAUGAACCUUUUAGAGUGGGCUACCAACAGAGAGAAACAACACAUUGCCUGACAUGUUACAUGUUUUGACAGGACUUUGUUUUUAUGCCAUUGGUACCUUUUAGAAGAUGCAAGCAGACAAAGCAACUAUAUCAUAGUCAUCCGUGUGCAGAAUCAUCAAAGAUUUUUCUGAGGCAAUGGCAAGGAGUAACAGUUAAUGAAGUGUCCGAUGACGAGAAAUUCAAACCACCCAGCGACAAUUUGAUGAUUGCUACAGGUUUCCAAGAGUCGUAGGUGCUAUCGAUUGGGGCCAUGUCUACAUCAGGAGUCCUGAUGGGGAACAAGCCCUGUACUUAGCAGGAAGAACAGGUCUUCUGUAAAUGUAUAGGUAUCCGUUGCUCCUCUCUUUGAUGAAUUCCUGCCUGCAUUCUGUUGUCAAUAGAAAAGGACCAUGUGCUUUGGGUAUUAAGCAUUCCAUUGGAUUAUCUGUGUAUGAAAGUGGACACUUGUGAUCACAAAAUGGUAGCUUAGUUGAUAGGAUGUAUUCAUGCAUUCCGAUUUAUCAUUAGUGAUCAAAUGACCAUCUUGCUUUUAAAAACCCAAAUUCACAACAUUUUUCUUGUUUGACAAAAGGUUUGGGAUGUGAAUUCCAGGAAAUAAAUGACACACACGAUGGGCUAAUGUAUAAGCAGGGAUGUGAGAGGUAUAAGCAACAUUUUGCUCAUGCUUAACUAAGUUUGGCAUGAGAUGGUCUUGGUCAUUCUUAUGAUUCAAGUCUAUUUUUAUACCAUUUUUUUUAAACAACAAUCAGUGUUUGAAGCCUCAUGAUUUCAAUAUCAAAACCUCUUUGUUAAUUAAAUGGUCAUAUUUCUAAGCAUAUGCAGCUUCCUAAUUUAUCAAAUUUAAAUUAUAUAAUAUCAUUUUUGCUGAAUAUCCUUUUUUUUCCCACCUAUUUUCAUAGGCACUAAGAUACAUUUCUGUAGUAAGCACUAUAUAUACAUUGCAAGCUAUUAUCAUUUGUUUGAUAUUACUAUUUUAUGAUAGAAUCAUCCUUUAAUUUCUUUCAGAAAUAUAAUUGCCUAAUUACCUGUGAUAUUCAUGCUUUAGCUGUAGAGUUUAAAAUCUUGACUAAACUUUUUUUAAUCCAUUGUUUAUCUAUUUUUAUUCAGAGUUUCUGAUGCAUUGUUAAGAAAAUGUAAACAGUCUAUUCAAUCUUCGUAUCAUUAUGUAAAGAAUUUCAAUCUACUUU
rnacentral:lncRNA from 1 species